GAAGCCGGAAUUGCUAGUAAUGGCAGGUCAGCAUACUGCCGUGAAUACGUUCCCGGGCCUUGUACACACCGCCCGUCACACCAUGAGAGUUGGGAAUACCCGAAGCCUGUGAGCUAACGUAAGAGGCAGCAGUCGAAGGUAGAAUCAAUGAUUGGGGUGAAGUCGUAACAAGGUAUC
rnacentral:rRNA from 1 species